rnacentral:lncRNA from 1 species
UUCAUAACUAUUCACUACUUUCUUCGUUUUAUAGCUUGAAUCUUUCACAGAUUAUAAACCCAACUUCAAAUCAAAAGCACUCUACACACCAGAAGAAGAAUAACCUUUUCAAUUAAUGAGCGUUUUCUUUGUUAGAAUGUACAACAUAUCAUGAUAUUUCUCAUAUCAUAACAUAAAAAUCAAUAGAAUCAUAACAACAUGUCAUUAAUAGUAACAGCAACAACAACAGAAUUCUAAUCUAUUUUUGUACAUGAUCCGCCAACCUAAAACUCAUUUCACCAAGAGACCAAAACGACAAACCAUCAUUCAAAAUGACGUACCACUAUCUUCAUUCAUAUAAGAACCAAACGACGAAUCACUAUUCAAACCAACAUUACCAUGAUUACG